ACGGAUCCUGGCCGGGCUAUUCAAUAAAGGGAGAGAUUAUACGAAUCCUGGCCGGGCUAUUCAAUAAAGGGAGAGAUUAUACGAAUCCUGGCCGGGCUAUUCACUAAAGGGAGAGAUUAUACGAAUCCUGGCCGGGCUAUUCACUAAAGGGAGAGAUUAUACGGAUCCUGGCCGGGCUAUUCACUAAAGGGAGAGAUUAUACGGAUCCUGGCCCGGCUAUUCACUAAACGGAGAGAUUAUACGAAUCCUGGCCGGGCUAUUCACUAAAAAGGGAGAGAUUAUACGAAUCCUGGCCGGGCUAUUCACUGAAGGGAGAGAUUAUACGAAUCCUGGCCGGGCUAUUCACUAAAGGGAGAGAUUAUACGAAUCCUGGCCGGGCUAUUCACUAAAGGGAGAGAUUAUACGAAUCCUGGCCGGGCUAUUCACUAAAGUGAGAGAUUAUACGAAUCCUGGCCAACUAUUCACUAAAGGGAGAGAUUAUACGAAUCCUGGCCAACUAUUCACUAAAGGGAGAUGUUAAGACACCUCUAGUGUCUUUAAGCCAAACCGCCGUUUAGUAGACCUUCCCCGGCUGCAGUACAGUCUCCGUUCGCUUACUCUGUAACACACGAACCAAAUGCAGGGGAAGCGGCAAUCUCCCGAACGAGAUCCGUGAACGGCCCCAAACUCCCGAACGGCAAUACAUGAACUGCUGGUAACCGUCGAACAGCAAUAUUCACCAAGCGGCUUUCGUUCCAUCCAGCAGUCUCUAAACGUGAAGAAGAAAUCCCCCCAAUAACGAGACAGAAGCUCCGCAUUGAGGGUCAAACAGAAUCUGGUUUUACUGUGGGCUACCUGCCCGUAUUUAUGCAGGUCUCCCACCUGGGGGACAUCCCAGACACACAGUCACAGAUUUUACCCACAGUGCAUUAUGAUUCCCUCCCCUCUGCCCUGGAGUUAAUUACCAAGUAACUCAAUUAACUCCAGGACAAAGCCAGUCGCCAUCUUAGACAUAAAAUAAUAAAAGACAUAAAAAUAUAUAACUACAUCAAACUGAACAUUUCCCAUUCGUAUUACAUGUCCCCAGAUAGCCUGGAUCUGAGUGCAUAUUAUUAGCGAAUAGCGCUCAGAUCCCACACACAUAGUUCAAUCGCCAUUGAGUCAAAGUUCUUACAGUCUUUCGGUAUACGAAUGACUCCAUGGGAAGGCUAUCUGGGUUAAGUCUUUUCGUAUGCUCUCAAUCUCCCGAACGGCCGGUGUUCGCAUGCUUUCGUGGAGGCAGCCAGGCGUUCCGUUGUUUCAGCGGUGUUCGGCAGAAAAAGUGUCCGUUUUCAGUUCCAUAGAAAUAGAGCCAAACACCGCUGAGCGUUCGCAUGAUUUAAAAUGGCCGCUGCCUCGUGGUCGACAUACGAACAACGACCACCCUGAAUUCGGCUUAAUUGAGAAGUGUCUGCGGUUAACCACAACGUUCUAAUUGGGAUCACUUCGUUAACCUGCAGCACACUCCUCACUUGGGUGGCCGUUUGUUCGGCAGUUUUGUUCGGGAAAAAGAGUCAUUCGAAUGGCUGGGCUAUAGAAACCAGCCAUUCAUACGAACGGGGGACAAACAGACGUCUGUUUGUCGUGACAACCCAUCUGCAUUCCCGUUCAGCUUACCGGGUCUGUAGCUGAUGGUAAAAUUGUAGGGCUGUAGGGCCAAGCUCCAUCUCAGCAGUCUUCCAUUGUCUACCGAGACCCGGUUAAGCCAAACGAGUGGGUUGUGAUCAGUCACAAGGGAAAACUCUUGCCCAUACAAAUAGGGGCUUAACUUUUUCAAUGCCCAGACCAAGGCCAAACACUCCUUCUCCACUGCCGCAUAACUCACUUCUCUGGGUAACAACUUUCUGCUGAGAUAUGCGACAGGGUGCUCUCCUCCAUCUUCCCCUACUUGGCUCAGCACAGCCCACAGUCCAUACAUGGAAGCAUCUGUAUGGACGAGAAAGCGUUUGUUAGGGACUGGGGCUGCCAAGACGGGCAUUCACAAGAGCCUGCUUCAGUGCCUGGAACGCAGCUUCACAAGCCGGAGACCACAGGACCUGCUUAGGCAAGUUUUUCUUGGUCAGGUCUGUCAGGGGCUUAGCAAUAGCGCUGUAGUCGGGGACAAAACGUCUGUAGUACCCUGCCGUCCCCAAGAAGGCCAAUACCUGGGUCUUAGUGGUAGGUGUGGGCCAGUUAGCCACUGCCUCUACCUUGGCUGGCUCUGGUCUCUGGCUCCCACACCCCACUCUGUGACCCAGGUACUGUACUUCAGCCAUACCUAGAUGGCACUUUUCUGGUUUCAAUGUCAGGCCAGCGGCCCGAAUUUUAUCCAGCACUACCCCUACAUGUACCAGGUGUUCCUCCCAGGACCCACUGUAAAUCGCAAUGUCGUCCAAGUAUGCACAGGCAAAUUCUUGGAAGCCAUCCAGGAGUCUAUCCACCAUCCGUUGGAAGGUAGCCGGUGCAUUUUUCAUCCCAAAAGGCAUGACCUUAAAUUGGUACAGGCCAAAUGGGGUGACAAAUGCCGACUUGGGGAUAGCAUCCUCGGCCAGGGGGAUCUGCCAGUAGCCCUUACACAGGUCUAUGGUGGUCAGAUAUCGCCCCCUGGCAAUACGAUCCAGUAAUUCGUCUACCCGGGGCAUUGGGUAGGCGUCAGUGGUGGUCCGCUCGUUGAGUCGCCUGUAGUCCACACAGAACCGGGUGGUCCCAUCUUUCUUGGGCACCAGGACUACAGGCGAGGCCCAAGGGCUGUCGGAGUGCUCGAUGACUCCAAGCUGGGUCAUCUCCUGUAUCUCCUUCCGCAUUCCUUCACGGACUGCUUCAGGGAUACGAUAGGGGGGCUGUCGUAACGGGGUCUGUCCAGGGGUCUCUACCUUAUGCACAGCUAGUGUGGUAUAACCUGGUUCCUGGGAGAACAUCGCCUGCUUCUCCCAUAACAACUGCUGCGCCUGUACCCUUUCUGUGGGGUUCAACCGGUCCCCUAGCUGUACCAAGGUAGUAAGGUCAGUCUGGGAAUCCCUUUCUAAUAGAUCGGGAAGGGGUAAAUUCUCAGAAUCAUCUGCAGCUGGGGCACAUACUGCUGCAAUAUUCUCAGGUCUCUCCUGGUACUCUUUCAGCAUGUUCACAUGAAAGGACCGCUGGAUCCUCUCAUCUGCACAGCUGGCUAUCAAGUAAGUAGUGUCGCAGAUCUGCGCCACUACCUUGUACGGGCCCUGCCAAGAUGCUUGCAUCUUGUUGGCCUUCACAGGUUUGAGCACCAAUACCUUUUGCCCAACCUGGAAGACCCGCUGUCGGGCACCCUGAUCGUACCAUCUCUUCUGUCUCCCCUGGGCCGUCUGGAGAUUCUCCCUUACCAUCAGGGACAGUUUCUCCAUGCGGUCCCGGAGUUCCAGAACAUAUGGCACAAUGGGGGUCCCCUCUUGCUCCGUCUCCCCCUCCCAGUGGCCUCUAAUGAGAUCUAGGGGUCCGCGGAACCUUCUCCCAUACAGCAGCUCAAAGGGGGAGAACCCAGUGGAUUCCUGUGGCACCCCUCUAUAAGAAAAUAAUACAUGAGGCAGGAAUCUCUCCCAGUCUCUGCAAGUGUCUGUAAAGGUCCUCAGCAUCUGUUUGAGGGUACCGUUAAAGCGCUCGCAGAGACCGUUAGUCUGUGGGUGGUAGGGUGAGCUAAGUAAUGGCUUAAUGCCACACACCUUCCACAGCUGCUGGGUGAGCACAGCGGUGAAUUGGGUUCCCUGGUCGGAGAGAAUCUCCUUAGGGAACCCGACCCUAGUAAAAAUUCUAACCAGGGCAUCAGCAACCGUCUCUGCCUCUAUGUUAGACAGCGCUACUGCCUCUGGAUAGCGGGUGGCAUAGUCCACCACGGUAAGAACGUAUUUCUUACCUGAUGGACUAGCCCUGGCCAGUGGACCCACGAUGUCAACGGCUAUGCGGGCAAAGGGCUCCCCUAUAAUAGGCAUCGAUAAUAGCCUAGCCUUAGGGUGGUCCCCCCGCUUUCCUACCCGUUGACAUGUGUCACACGUGCUGCAGUACAUCCGCACAGCCUGGUUAAAGUUUGGCCAAAAGAAAUUCUGCGAGAUCCUAUAGGCUGUGUGGCGGGACCCUAGAUGUCCAGCUAACGGAACAUCAUGCCCUAUCCGCAGAAUCUCCUGCCGGUACUUUGCAGGUACCACUAACUGGCGAUUCGGCGGAGAGGCAACACUCUUCUGGGAAGGUUUAGGGAUCCUAUAUAACCUGUCCCCCACCCACUCAUACCGUUCCCCAUCUAUUCCUUCCUCUCCAGCAUUUGCCCUGUCUUUGUACUUUUGGAGGGUCGGAUCUGCCCGGGUUUCCCUCCCAAACUCCUCUGGGGAAUCCCAGCUUAAGGGGACCUGAUCUGGGGUAUCAGUCGGGGAAGGAGAUCUUACCUGGGUCUCAUCAGCAGGUGAGCUGGUUCCAGCAGCACGGGCCUGGGCACGGGUGAUCACGGUGUUCACAUCUGCAGGGCCCAUCGGAGCAUAUGCUGAAACCAAAGGGGCCAAAUCGUUUCCCAGAAGAACAUCUGCGGGUAAGUCUUUCAUCACCCCCACAUCCACAUGUCUAGCGCCCACUCCCCAAUCCAAAUGUACCCGGGCAACAGGUAAGCGAAACACAGCACCCCCUGCUACCCUUACUGCCACAGUGUCCCCAGUGUGUUGAUGCUCUGAGACCAAGUUCUUUUGGAGUAGUGUCAUCGUGGCUCCUGUGUCUCGCAACCCAUUUACCACCCUGCCAUUCAGCUUCACAGUUUGCCGAUGUUGCUGGCGAUUAUCCUGGUGGGCUGCUUGCACUGGGUCUGCCUCGUGUAGGAUGCCCCAGAAUUCCUCCUGCUCUAUGCAGUGAGCAGCAGGCUGAGGUGGGCGCUGGUUCCCAUUGACUGGUCUCCUCCAGGACUGAGCUUGGUUGGCACUGUUCAGUGGGCACUCAGGACGCUUGUGCCCCAACUGCUUGCACCCAAAGCACCGGAUGGGUUGGGAAUAUUCACAGGCAUUAAAUCGUGCAGGCUGUACAAAAUUGUUAGCUGGCGGUGCGGCUGGGUUACGGUGUACUGGGGGUUGGUAGGCUGAAGGAGCGGGUAUUACUGCUGGUCGAUACUCCAGUCUGGCAGGGGCUUUGGCAGCUGUACCAUCCAACUUGCGGGCAUCCGUGUAUUCGUCUGCCAGACGAGCAGCCUCGGGUAGGGUAGAGGGUUUUCUAUCGCUGACCCACUCCCGGACCCCAGCAGGUAGUCUAUCAAAGCAGUGUUCCAGCAGGAACACUUGUAACACCUCCUCCCCAGUUACCGCUUGGCAUCCAGCCAUCCAGUGGGCUGCGGUACGAUGAACUCUGCAGGCCCACUCCACAUAAGAGUCCCCACCCAGCUUGUUGGUUUCUCUAAACCUCCGCCUGUACGCCUCUGGGGUCACCGCAUACCUGGCUAGGAGCGCAUCUCUCACAGCCCGGUAGCUGGUGAUCUCCUCCUCAGGGAUGGCCCGAAACGCCUCACUAGCCUGGCCAGAUAAUUUCCCAGAGAGGAUGGUGACCCAUUCAUCUGCAGGUACCUGAUGUAGAGCACACUGCCUCUCGAAGUCCGCUAGGAACCCAUCAAUCUCUCCCUCAGUCUCCACAAAAUUUUUAAAUGCAGCAAAAGGUACCUUCUUUCUAGCAAACACAUUAUUAUUGUAAGGUACCUCUGCUGCUGCAGCUCCUCUUUCCCGGAGCGCCUGUUGUGCUGCUACUGCUGUCAGCUGAGGGUUUGGGGCACUGCCCAGUUAAAUUGUAUUUCCUCGGGUGUUAAAUCCAAGGUACUGGGCACGUUGACUCUCUCCAUUCCCGUUGCUGCAUCCAUCUCCAGUAGCAAAGCAAUAAUCUCCCGUUUCUUUAAAUUGCUUGCUGACCUUCCUCGGCGUUCCAAUAUGUCCUUAAGUGUAGCACGCCUUAAUUCCUCGUACUGCAUGUCUUGUAGCUGACCUCCAAUGCUGUGGGAUUCAUCCCGUCGCUUGCCACCAAUUGUUAAGACACCUCUAGUGUCUUUAAGCCAAACCGCCGUUUAGUAGACCUUCCCCGGCUGCAGUACAGUCUCCGUUCGCUUACUCUGUAACACACGAACCAAAUGCAGGGGAAGCGGCAAUCUCCCGAUCGAGAUCCGUGAACGGCUCCAAACUCCCGAACGGCAAUACACGAACUGCUGGUAACCGUCGAACAGCAAUUUUCACCAAGCGGCUUUCGUUCCAUCCAGCAGUCUCUAAACGUGAAGAAGAAAUCCCCCCAAUAACGAGACAGAAGCUCCGCAUUGAGGGUCAAACAGAAUCUGGUUUUACUGUGGGCUACCUGCCCGUAUUUAUGCAGGUCUCCCACCUGGUGGACACUCCCCUAGGGGACCAAAUGGGAGACUUAAAUUACAGACAGAUCUGGGGACAUCCCAGACACACAGUCACAGAUUUUACCCACAGUGCAUUAUGAUUCCCUCCCCUCUGCCCUGGAGUUAAUUACCAAGUAACUCAAUUAACUCCAGGACAAAGCCAGUCGCCAUCUUAGACAUAAAAUAAUAAAAGACAUAAAAAUAUAUAACUACAUCAAAACUGAACAUUUCCCAUUCGUAUUACAUGUCCCCAGAUAGCCUGGAUCUGAGUGCAUAUUAUUAGCGAAUAGCGCUCAGAUACCACACACAUAGUUCAAUCGCCAUGGAGUCAAAGUUCUUACAGUCUUUCGGUAUACGAAUGACUCCAUUGGAAGGCUAUCUGGGUUAAGUCUUUUCGUAUGCUCUCAAUCUCCCGAACAGCCGGUGUUCGCAUGCUUUCGUGGAGGCAGCCAGGCGUUCCGUUGUUUCAGCGGUGUUCGGCAGAAAAAGUGUCCGUUUUCAGUUCCAUAGAAAUAGAGCCAAACACCGCUGAGCAUUCGCAUGAUUUAAAAUGGCCGCUACCUCGUGGUCGACAUACGAACGACGACCACCCUGAAUUCGGCUUAAUUGAGAAGUGUCUGCGGUUAACCACAACGUUCUAAUUGGGAUCACUUCGUUAACCUGCAGCACACUCCUCACUUGGGUGGCCGUUCGUUCGGCAGUUUUGUUCGGGAAAAAGAGUCAUUCGAAUGGCUGGGCUAUAGAAACCAGCCAUUCAUACGAACGGAGGACAAACAGACGAACGUAGUAAAAAUCUAAGCAGACAGAUGGUUCUGUCACAGGAGAGAUUAUACGAAUCAUGGCCGGGCUAUUCACUAAAGGGAGAGAUUAUACGAAUCCUGGCCGGGCUAUUCACUAAAGGGAGAGAUUAUACGAUCCUGGCCGAGCUAUUCACUAAAGGGAGAGAUUAUACGGAUCCUGGCCGAGCUAUUCACUAAAGGGAGAGAUUAUACGAAUCCUGGCCGGGCUAUUCACUAAAGGGAGAGAUUAUACGAAUCCUGGCCGGGCUAUUCACUAAAGGGAGAGAUUAUACGAAUCCUGGCUGGGCUAUUCACUAAAGGGCGAGAUUAUACGAAUCCUGGCCGGGCUAUUCACUAAAGGGAGAGAUUAUACGAAUCCUGGCCGGGCUAUUCACUAAAAAGGGCGAGAUUAUACGAAUCCUGGCCGGGCUAUUCACUAAAGGGCGAGUUUAUACGAAUCCUAGCCUGGCUAUUCACUAAAGGGCGAGAUUAUACGAAUCCUGGCUGGGCUAUUCACUAAAGGGGAGUGUGACAGAACCAUCAGUAUGAUUAUU